rnacentral:rRNA from 1 species
GCAAGUCGAGCGGUAACAGAGAGUAGCUUGCUACUCUGCUGACGAGCGGCGGACGGGUGAGUAAUGCUUGGGAAUAUGCCUUAUGGUGGGGGACAACAGUUGGAAACGACUGCUAAUACCGCAUGAUGUCUACGGACCAAAGUGGGGGACCUUCGGGCCUCACGCCAUAAGAUUAGCCCAAGUGGGAUUAGCUAGUUGGUGAGGUAAUGGCUCACCAAGGCGACGAUCCCUAGCUGGUUUGAGAGGAUGAUCAGCCACACUGGGACUGAGACACGGCCCAGACUCCUACGGGAGGCAGCAGUGGGGAAUAUUGCACAAUGGGCGCAAGCCUGAUGCAGCCAUGCCGCGUGUGUGAAGAAGGCCUUCGGGUUGUAAAGCACUUUCAGUAAGGAGGAAAGGUUAAGUGUUAAUAGCACUUAGCUGUGACGUUACUUACAGAAGAAGCACCGGCUAACUCCGUGCCAGCAGCCGCGGUAAUACGGAGGGUGCGAGCGUUAAUCGGAAUUACUGGGCGUAAAGCGUACGCAGGCGGUUUGUUAAGCGAGAUGUGAAAGCCCCGGGCUCAACCUGGGAACUGCAUUUCGAACUGGCAAACUAGAGUGUGAUAGAGGGUGGUAGAAUUUCAGGUGUAGCGGUGAAAUGCGUAGAG